AAGGUAAUAAGAGAGGAGAACGGACAAGCGGGCGUGGGUGAUUGGAAGCAGCGCUGACACGUGCAUAUUAUUGAACACACCAAAUCCGAGGCGGGUCCGAGCACGUGCGAAAGGUCAAUCUUUAAACGCGAGCAUGGAUGGAAGGGACAUGGGUGCCACGUUAGGGAAUAUUUGGGAAAAUUCUUUUGUUAAUUGCUCGUGCCUUCAUCGAACAUGGAGCAUCCAUAUAGGUAAGGCCAGGGCAUGCCAACGACAAACUCCUUUGGGUUCGUCUAAAAAAAUGGAGGUCUUGCCGGCUGUUUGGAUCGUGAAGGUUAAUUUAAAAACAAAACAUGGUUCGGCUUCAGGCUCUUACCUCAAACAGUCAAAUGUGGCCAAGAAAGGGGACCUGUCUUCGUGAGACGUAGGAGCAUGUUACAAACACAAGAAUGCUGAAGUUGAUGUUAAACUGAACACAGAAUAAUGAUCAAAUGUAACUUUUACUAUAUCGUGUUUCUAAUAAUGCUCUCUUUCAUUUUACUGACUGUAAUAACUCUCAAGCGUCACAGAUUUUCUGCCAUCCGCAAUAGCUAUUGCUUCAAUUAAACUGCCUGAUUACAACUCUGGCAAGUUACUAAAUUUCCAUACUAAAUGGGACGUUGGCAAAAUCCCAUGAAAUGCUUAUUGCUUAUAUUAUUAAGCUGUCUGUUCUUUCUAUCACAGUUCGAGGUGCAAUAUUUACACAACAUGCUAGUUUCACUGGAGCUGUGGGUCUGAACAAGUCUCCUGCUGGUGAUUUUUCGGCAGCCAUUAGUGCUUCCAGCAUGGCCUUUGGUGGGAAGGCAGCCUAUGUUACAGCUUCUGGUGAAUUUACCGAGUAAAACACUGGUGUGAGCUUGACAAAGCCAGAAUCCAAUGCUUCAGUCAUUCUGCAAGUCUCAAUUUUUAUCCUCAUUAACAGCAAAUACAACAUUUUGAAAUAUUCUUCGUGUGGAGACCUGAAGAUGCACAAAUCAGAAGUCAAUUUUUUUCCUGGGAAGACAUUAAUUUUGUUUCCCAACUUUUGACCGAUUAAGAGAAAUGAUUUUCUCGGUUCUCUGUAUGCUUCAUGCUUACGAAAUGGCUUUCACUUUCUAAUUUUAUUUUUCACUAUUCUUACAAGGUAUAUUUUAUACCUUGGGAGUUGAGAUUUGUAACACCAAGAAGCAUCAGUACUGAAUAGUCUGUUUAAGGAUGUAAUGGAAACAUCACAAACCAUGGCGAUAAUAUUUGCAAGCUUGAAACACGGCAACAUUGAUGAA